GGGUUGUGAGGUUAAGCGACUAAGCGUACACGGUGGAUGCCCUGGCAGUCAGAGGCGAUGAAGGACGUGCUAAUCUGCGAUAAGCGUCGGUAAGGUGAUAUGAACCGUUAUAACCGGCGAUUUCCGAAUGGGGAAACCCAGUGUGAUUCGUCACACUAUCAUUAACUGAAUCCAUAGGUUAAUGAGGCGAACCGGGGGAACUGAAACAUCUAAGUACCCCGAGGAAAAGAAAUCAACCGAGAUUCCCCCAGUAGCGGCGAGCGAACGGGGAGCAGCCCAGAGCCUGAAUCAGUGUGUGUGUUAGUGGAAGCGUCUGGAAAGGCGUGCGAUACAGGGUGACAGCCCCGUACACAAAAAUGCACAUGCUGUGAGCUCGAUGAGUAGGGCGGGACACGUGGUAUCCUGUCUGAAUAUGGGGGGACCAUCCUCCAAGGCUAAAUACUCCUGACUGACCGAUAGUGAACCAGUACCGUGAGGGAAAGGCGAAAAGAACCCCGGCGAGGGGAGUGAAAAAGAACCUGAAACCGUGUACGUACAAGCAGUGGGAGCACGCUUAGG
rnacentral:rRNA from 2 species